rnacentral:rRNA from 1 species
UACGUAGGGUGCAAGCGUUAAUCGGAAUUACUGGGCGUAAAGCGUGCGCAGGCGGUUUUGCAAGACAGAUGUGAAAUCCCCGGGCUCAACCUGGGAACUGCAUCUGUGACUGCAUCGCUGGAGUGCGGCAGAGGGGGAUGGAAUUCCGCGUGUAGCAGUGAAAUGCGUAGAUAUGCGGAGGAACACCGAUGGCGAAGGCAAUCCCCUGGGCCUGCACUGACGCUCAUGCACGAAAGCGUGGGGAGCAAACAGG